CUCUUUAAGAGUAGUACUAUUUCUUAGAGCUGAAGCGAAGUUCCCAGCUCUGGUUUCUAUUUUCUAUAUAAUAGAGUAUACGCUGCUGUUUCGUUCCUUACCCGAUCGAGCAUCGACGACACUUCUCAAUUCCUCUCGCCGUUCAUUUUCAAUGCCCUAAGUACCGAAUAUGUGUUAAAUAUCCUUUCUUCCAUAGGCAAUGAGCUACCUGUGGCUCAAUUCAACGGUAGUGUAAUUUACUGCUUCUUCUUUUUUUACCACUCUGUUUUUUUUUUCCGGUUCAAAGAUGACAUGACACCUGUAAUUAUUUUCAUAUCGCGUUUUUUCCGAUUUGCAGUAACGCCCUUGUGUUCUUCUCGUCGAGUUCAUCCAUGUUAGAGUUGACCGUAAACUAAGGGCUUUUUCUACCGCCGAUCCGUCAACUUCUCUCAGCAUCUUUCUUCCUUAACCAGCUUGUACAGGUAAAUAUACCAUUUCUUUUAUCGAAUUGAAUUCUGCUUACAUCAGUUCAAAAUUAGAAAACCGAAAAUUAUUGAAUAGAAUUUUGACGAAACCUAUUACAUAGAUUCCGCCUCAUCCUGCUCACAAAAACAAAAAUUAAUUACUGAAAAGAAGUGUAAAAUGACAAAGUUGUUCCUCUUUCCCAAGGAUUAUUAACAAGGUUAUUGCUAAAAUGGAAAACAAGAGCUUAUCAAGUUUAAACUAAACACAUGUUUUACUUAAUACCCAUUUUGUAGUGAAAUGAACCAAAAAGUUUAUAUGUAUCUAAUUCAGGAAUUAUAUCCUUGUACUGUUAUCCCAUCAUUUUAAUAACAGAACUUUUCCCACAAAGUAAAUGAACCCAAGUAACUUUUAUUUUACCUAUAUUGAAAAUAAAAUUAUAAAAAUACAAUCAAAUGAAGGAUAAUAUAAUACCAAAAUCAAUACCUAGAUUAGUUUUUAUAUUUGAUAAACAAAUGAAUAAAAUAAAAUAAUGAUAUUUUAUCGAUUGAAAGACUCGCGACUCGGUGUCAUGUUUAAUCGGAGACCUCGCAAGUGAGGUCACUUUUUCCUAUCCUAACCCAUAUGAAACUUUCUAAUGCCUUGGACUAAAAUUCAAAGUGUUGGUAAAAUAACUUUCAGUCCUGAUAUUACGUUAGCGUUUAGAUAUAGAUUUGAUUGAUACUUGUAAAAAGUAAUUUUGAAAUUGUGUCAAAAAAUAAUUUUGUAAGUUGAAGUUGUGUUUGAACAUGCAUUAAGUUUAGUGAGUGAAAGAAAAAAUUUCACCCAAAAACUGUUCUAAACUAGUUAUCGGGAACUUGAUUUUUUUUUUCUUUCUAAAAUUGAUCAUGUUCUAUGAACAAACAGUGUUUUCAAUUUUUUUUUAAAAAAAUAUGCCCAAAAUUAUGGCCAAACGGGUGCUAGAUAACUCAACUUUAGAUAUAGAUGUACCUCUGAUACUAUAUAAUGUAAAAUGAUAUUGAAAAACUCAAUGCUAUAAACUAAAAAUUCUCAACAAGAACAACUUGUAAAACAAUAAACAAACCCUUGGAAUUCAUUUGCUUUCCAAAAAAUUAUGUUAUUACAAUGUUUGGAUAGCAUUAUUGAAUUAAUAAUUUCUGACUUAUUUGGUACUUAAAAUUUGUUUGGUACAUUUCAUUAAAUAUGAGGUAUACUGUGUAUUAUUCAAAACACGCGUGUGGUUUAAAUUUGAGAUAAUUAUUUCCAAAAAUAAAUUUUUGAGAUAAAUUUUGAGAGCUUUAGUAGAAGGACAUUUUAUUAUUUUACUUCUUUUUAAUACGAGAAUAACUAAUUCUUGAAUUGUUAUCCCACAUUGCAUGUGUUAUAAAAUUAUACCACGUGAUCGAUAUGAAAUUUUACCUAUCUGUAUUACUUAUAUUGCAAAUAAAAAUGCACCCAAACAAAGGAUACAAUAAUAUCAAAAUUUAUAUCGAGAUUAAGUUUUAUAAUCUGAUAACAAAUGUUGCGGCCAAACGCACAUGCAAGUAUACGUGGUCGUCAAGUAAUAAAGUGACUAAAAGUCGGAUGUUGAACCCACAAGGACUUGUGAUUAACUAGUAACUAUUGUUAUGAGCUAUCUAACAUUCCUAUUAUAUUUUUCAAUUGAAUUGACUAACUAAUUCAUCUAGUUCAUUGGUUCACAGGUUUAAUAUUGCUCAUAAGAAUCUGUCGAGUUCUUACUCGCUUAUGCAAGCUAACCUAACACUUAUAUGUCUAUAGAUAUAGAACUAACAAGAAUGCAUUUAUAAUUCUUGUACAUUAACCAAGCAAGACAAUUAGGUAUAUGUCUAUCCUAACUGCGAAUUCGUUCCCCGAUGCCCAGGUUUAUGAACUUGCUCUACUCAAUUCUAUGUGCAAUCUAGAAUUCCUACUUUCGAGUUCAAUUCUAGAUUUGUAGAUAAUAUUCAAUUGGUGAUGAAACAAUUAAAUAAUUGAGCGCAAGAUUCAAUAAAUAAACCAAUAUGAUAAAUCAAGAAAAUAAAAUCAAUAUUCGAAUAACAAUAGUCAGGAAAGAACCACAACCCUGGAACGUGAAGUUUAAAUCCACAUCGACAUGGUAACCAAACAACAAAUUCUGCAAAGAAACAUAAAAAUUACUAAGUUUGGCGGAAGAAAGAUGGAAUUUCGACAUCCACGGCGGCUCUGUGCUUAUGUUUUCCUCUCAAAAAUAUCCUCCACUCCGAAAUAGGUUUAGGACCCCUUUUAUAUGAUUGGGGGCGUGUAGGGCCGAAAUAACCUGCCGCCGAGCAAACUAGGAAAAGUGCCGCCUCCAGCGUUCAGAGGCGCUGCCCCUGGCGCAGAAUCCAGUAUCGUUUUUGCCUUGAAUUCUUGCGCUUUCCAAGUCUCCGGCUUCUUUGUAAAUGUUACGCUGCUUCAUUCUUUGUAGUGCGUGCCUAACUUUUGCUUUUCCUUAAUUCUUUCAAGUUGUUGCUCUAUGUCAUUUUCUUUCUAACGUUUUCAUCCGUAAUGAACAUCACCUAAUCACUUGGUCUCCCCACCUCUUAGUACAACAUGUAAUAUUAAUGAGAUACUCCAAGACAAAAUCCCAACUCAAGAAAUUAUCUUCUCAGUGUUUAUUUGCAUGAAUCACUCGAGCUCGUGUUUAUACCAAUGUUGUAUGCCACGCUUUGACUCCAACUUUUGUCAUUUUUGAUCCAAAUUCCACCUCUUAGGUACCUAUAUCAUUUAUUAACAUUCAAAUAAGUGUAAAACUCUAUAAUCAAGCUAAGUGAAGCAUAUCUAAUAUCAAAUAUAAUCAAAGAGCGGUAAAAAUACAGGAAAAUUAGUGUCAAAAUAUAUGAAAAUAUGCCCAACAUCAACAAACGAACAAAGUAAACCUAGGACAUUUUCUUGAUGAAAUACUCGCAAUGUAAUUUGAUGUUUAAUUGGAGACCCCGCGCAGGAGACCACAUUUGUUCUGUCCUAACUAAUGUGAAACUUUCUGACGUCUUGGAAGAAAAAUUUAGAGCGUUUAUAAGAUAACAUGCGGGUUAUAAUCUUAGAUAAUCCUACUUUAAAGAUGGAUUGAUGUAACUUUGUUGAUAUGUUACGAAAAAUAAAGGCGAAAUAGUUGAACAUUGCAUUUAAGUUGUCCAUAACGAUCAGAUAGACACCUCAAAUGAUCCCUUUACCAUUUGACACCUCCUCUCCACUGAAGUUUAACUCAUGAAUCCCUCAUGAUAACAUAGUGAAGCGUGUGCUUUUUAUUCGUAUCUGCUUUUUAUUCGUAUCUGAGCGCUUGAACUUAACCGUACUCUAUGUGGACCUCACUUACCUUCAUCUCUACUUCUCCUUCUUUAAAAUUUUCACCAAAGAUUAAAAAUAAGAAAAAAUAAAGCAUUUUCCAGGCCUCGUGCGCUCACAGGCAAAAGAUUGGCAAAAAUUGGCGGACCAUAGAUGAUAAACAAGAAUAAAACAAGUCAUGGCAGCCGCGCCCAUUCCUUUCUCCCCUUUUCAUUGGUUAGUCGCCGCCGUCACCCGAAAUCCCAUGAGCUGUCCAGUUGGCAACCCCACUCCCUCUUCUUUUCUUUAACUUCUUCAAACUACCAUCACCACUAGUCCCGACCAGCAAAACGCCUGAAGCAGUGAACAAACAAACCCACUGAAAAACCUUCGUCGUCGACUAGGCCGGAAAAUGGCGACGAUUGCCGGCCUUUACUCCCGCUCCAAACAUGAACCUAAUUUUCAGUUCACUUACUAUGUUCACAUUGUUCUUCAGCUAGUUAUCGCUUUUCCUUUCUUCCUCCUGAUAUUUUUUUCUGUUCUCUACUCUCGUUGCUUCUUCUAUGUAGUUGUUUCCCUAUUGUAGUAAUAGGCUUAAUUAUUGGAAGCCAUGAGAACUCUACCAUGUUCAUUUCAGCUGUCGAUUCAAUUAGCGGCAAAGGUGUAAUUUGGGAAGCAAUAUAAUCUGUUGCUUAGAAGUGUCGAAGUAAGAAACUGGAUUUGGGAAUAAAGGUAUAGUUUGGGGAUUGAAGGAUGACUGGUUUGAAAAAAGUGCAGAGAGAGAUGAUUUUGGGAGGAAUUACCACUGAUGGUGAGAGGAGGGCUGGUCCUAUCGAACCAGACACUGAAUAUCUAGGAAUUAAUCACGGGUUAGGGCUUUCGAAUCAAAGCAUGGGCAUAUGCUAUUAAGAGGGAGCAAUAGAUCUAUCUUAUUUUUUAGUCACGUGUCAACUACUAAUUAGUUCUUAAAAUAGUUUCAAAAAGUAUAUUGCACGCGAUGGGAGAUGACUA
rnacentral:lncRNA from 1 species